rnacentral:rRNA from 1 species
CCUACGGGAGGCAGCAGUGGGGAAUAUUGCACAAUGGGGGAAACCCUGAUGCAGCGACGCCGCGUGAGUGAAGAAGUAAUUCGUUAUGUAAAGCUCUAUCAGCAGGGAAGAAAAUGACGGUACGUGAGUAAGAAGCCCCGGCCAACUACGUGCCAGAUGCCGCGGUAACACGUAGGGGGCCAGCGUUAUCCGGAUUUACUGGGCGUAAAGGGAGCGUAGACGGCAGUGCAAGUCUGGAGUGAAAGGCUGGGGCUCAACCCCCGGACUGCUCUUGAAACUGUACGGCUGGAGUGCAGGAGAGGUAAGUGGAAUUCCUGGUGUAGCGGUGAAAUGCAUAGAUAUUAGGAAGAACACCAGUGGCGAAGGCAGCUUACUGGACUGUAACUGACGUUGAGGCUCGAAAGCGUGGGGAGCAAACAGGAUUAGAUACCCCAGUAGUC